GACGAAUGCUGGCUGCGUGCUUAACACAUGCAAGUCGAACGGUGAAAGGGAGCUUGCUCCCUGGAUCAGUGGCGAACGGGUGAGUAACACGUGGGCAACCUGCCCCUCACUCUGGGAUAACUCCGGGAAACCGGGGCUAAUACCGGAUACGACCUGGUGCGACAUCGCACCGGGUGGAAAGAACUUCGGUGAGGGAUGGGCCCGCGGCCUAUCAGCUUGUUGGUGGGGUAACGGCCCACCAAGGCGACGACGGGUAGCCGGCCUGAGAGGGCGACCGGCCACACUGGGACUGAGACACGGCCCAGACUCCUACGGGAGGCAGCAGUGGGGAAUAUUGCGCAAUGGGCGAAAGCCUGACGCAGCGACGCAGCGUGAGGGACGAAGGCCUUCGGGUUGUAAACCUCUUUCAGCGGGGACGAAGCGAAAGUGACGGUACCCGCAGAAGAAGGACCGGCCAACUACGUGCCAGCCGCCGCAGUAAGAC
rnacentral:rRNA from 1 species